rnacentral:misc_RNA from 1 species
UCCGGUUCAUCACCAGCAGUCUCUUUAGAGUCCCCAGCAUUACCUGAUGGCAACUAAAGAUAAGGGUUGCGCUCGUUACGGGACUUAACCCAACAUCUCACAACACGAGCUGACGACAGCCAUGCAGCACCUGUGUUCAGGUUCCUUUCGGCACUUCUGCAUCUCUGCAAAAUUCCUGACAUGUCAAGGGUAGGUAAGGUUCUUCGCGUUGCAUCGAAUUAAACCACAUACUCCACCGCUUGUGCGGGCCCCCGUCAAUUCCUUUGAGUUUUAACCUUGCGGCCGUACUCCCCAGGCGGAAAACUUAUCGCGUUAGCUUCGAUACUAAACAGUCAAGCUGCCCAACAUCUAGUUUUCAUCGUUUACAGCGUGGACUAC